AUGUGGAUGUACUCUGGAGCUAACGACACCGCUCGGGUUCAUCUAGAGGAGGUUACUGCCGAGAUGGUGGCCCUGUGGCUGAAGGGUAUUACAGGAAACAAGGAUAACCGUAGGGGAGCCAGGAGAGUCGACCCGUUCAGCGCCGACAACCAACCAGACAAGGUUUAUACUGAGAUGUACUCGAUGCCCAACAAUGAACAAGCUCUGGAGCAAGACCAGGAGGGAGAGGAUAGCGUGGAAGAAAGCGGCAACUGGCAAUCACUAGAAGAUGACGACGAGGAGGAAAGUGAUGAGUCGGACAACGACAAGAUAGUCGACUCACCACCUCGCACAGAGCGUUGA
rnacentral:rRNA from 1 species